CUUUUGUUAUUGAUUUGAUUGAGAGACCCCUAGCGGCUGAAAUCACAUAUUGUGUGUUUAAUACACCCAUGGUGUGAACACCAUUUAGGUCCUAAACUGCCAUGCAUGCACAGAUUUAACUGAAAUGUGAGCCGCAUGCGUACAAGAACAACAACAAUAACAGACAAAUCACAAACAUGGAUGAUACAGCUGUUCUAGCAUUCCCUAACAAUAAGUUCCUUCCAGUUUGGCUUGGAUAGAUGCUUCUCCAUAAACUUUCCGACAAAUAUGAAAUUUCGUCGUCUCUCCAUUGACCUCCGUUGCUGUUGUUGCUCUCCUGUGUGUUUAUUUUUACUGGGCUGUGAGAGGCCAGGCAAUAUGUGCAGAGUGAAACCAAGUGAAACCAUAUGAAUUCCAAUCUGACCGUACCGUAGCCAGAGAUCGGAUAUGAAUCAGAUCUUGGACCGCAUAUGCAAGCGGCCAAGAUCUGAUAUGAAAAAAAUCUGAUUUUUUUUGUUCAGACUUGUGUGAAAAAAUCAAAUCUGAGUCAGUCGGAUUUGGACCACUUCAGCAUGUAAUGUGAAUGUAGCUUAAAUUCAUUUAACCUGACUGCAAAAUACAAUGUAAGUUAUUAGUCAUUCUUAACUCAGGCUUUUCUCUAUUUCAUAUUUACUUCAUGAAAACUAAUUGGUUGCAAGUAUAAACUUGGAAAAAGCACAACUUCAGAAGCAUUUUGUAGUGUUCAGUUCAGGUUUCUAACCUACUGUAGUGCUUAAACAUACAAUAUGCAAAAUCUGAUUCAAAUAUGAUUCCUUUGUCUUUCCUUUGCAUAUGAACAUUUAUAAUACUUAAGAUGGUUUAAUUAACAGCAGCUAAUUCAGAUUAUGCCUCCCUUUCAUUUGAAAUGAGUACAAAACUGGCUUUACAUUGUGAGAAAACGGAAUGAAUCUAGUAUUGCUCAAACCUCCAUUUCACCUUUUUUCAUAGUAUCAAUAUCCAACCAAAUACCUAGGGAGAUUUUUGGAAGCUGUGUUAACAGAUAUUAUUGAUUCACAAUUGGCUCUACUUCUGCUCCUUUUAACUCCUUCAACUAACACAUUACAAUAGCUGUGUAAAUCAUUCACUUUGCCUGUUGGUCCUAGCGGAAAAGAAACCUAUUCCAACAAAAUGAGAGGUUUGUUUGUGUAAAAUCAGGUCCAGUAGUGUGUUGUCACUUUGCAUCCACCAGUAAGCUAAUUUCAACCUUGAUUAUAUUACUGUGGUUGUUGUUCCCUUUAGAUGGUGUACGGCUUCCACUCCAUCUGUGCCCCUUUUGUUCGUUAAAGAUGUUUUUUCAGAGUAAGAAGAGAAACAAGGAGAGGGGAGGCGGGGGGAGCAAUCAUAGACAGAUACACUAUACACCUGAAGGACAUGAAUUUGAAUGCUUUUUUAUUCUUAACAACAUAUGAGCAAAAUGUUCUUUCUCAUGUCUGCAUGUACUUCUACUACUAUUAAUACCGAAACUCCAUUUAUAAGUGCAGUGAUGUCGGGGCCUGGGUCAUAGCUAAAUCCUUGUGUUGUGUGCUCACCAUUUUAAUCCAAGCUUAUACCUUAUAUGAAUAUUCCCUUUUCACUUUCACUCUUUUUAUAUAUAAAUAUAUGUAUGUAUGUAUGUAUGUAUGUAUGUAUGUGCUCACUGCUCGACAGGGGAGGUAGAGACAGAGAUGCACUUCCUCCUCCACUGUGAGAUGUUCUCUUCAGUAAGAGACUUCCACUACCAAAGGAAAUAACAAACAAAUACCAAACGUCCAAAUGUUAACUCCAGAGGAGAAAUUGGCAGUUCUCCUGGGUGAAGGGACAGCAGCUCCUCUAGCAGCUAAAUAUGUAUCUGCCUGCCACAGCCUGACAGACUCACAAUCACUGUAAAAUCUAUAUUUAUAAGAUAUUAAGUAACUGUAUCAUAUUCUAUAAAACUGUGUUGUACGUUACUGUAUUGUAUUACCAUCAAAUAAUGGACUGCAUCAGUAUUAUAAAGAACCUGCAUGUGACACCUGUAUGUUUAAUAUGUAUAUGUAAUAUGUAUUAUAUGAAUCUUCUGUAAACUGCUUUGGCAACAACAUGAGCAUUUGGGCAGUAGAUAAAAGAUGUCUGUCAAUACCAGGGUUGCUAACUCUCACAUACUUUGCUGCCCAAACAACUGUCAAGACAAAACACUAUGACAGCAACACAGAUGAACAGGCGAAUAUAUUAUGGUCAAAGUAUUUCUGGUAUAGUAAUGGUUAAACCUGGUGAAUAUCUUGGACUCUACAAGACAGCUGAGCAUUCAAAAAGUGGGUGUUUCCAUGGAGCUGCAUCUUAAAUUACUCUCUGAUUGGUGCGUAGUGCUUAUCACCUUGAUAAUCGGACAGCUGCUCAAGUUCACAGCUAGGACCCCAGAAGGUGUUCAAGCAAGCCAGCCACACUCCAUCUAACCUGGUAUGAACCAAGACCUCUAACUUGGUAUUGGUCUGACUGCAAAGGCCAUGCUGAUGAGGCUGGAUGAAACUGGUGAGAUUCCCUCGGGUGAAGUCACCAAAUUUUACAAGGCAGCAAGAGGCUUCCUGCUAAGAUGUACGGAUACGCAUUGAAGAAGCUAACGUUACUGAAUGAUCCCCUGCUGCCAUAUGCUGAGUUUGUGGACUUUAAGCAGAGACAAGACUUGCAUGUAGAUGAUGUGCUCUACUUUGUCCAAAGGCUUCACCGGCAGCUGUGAUGGGUGAGAAAAGACUACUCUCUGAGAUACGAUCGCCUUCUUCCUUUUGAGGAUCCAAGGGACCAGGACAGGAUUUCAGGUGAGUUUCUGGAGUACUAGAUGCCGGAGGAAACAGCCAUACCUGACACCGUCUGGAAAGGUGCCCUGGUGAGUGUUGAAGAAGAAGACCGAUUCCAUUGUAUGGACAUGGUGUCUGAACAACUGGUGAAUCACAGUUCCCAGACUCAGGAAGGUGGCACAGCUUGUUCUAUGCUUACCUCACUCUAAUGUAGAUGCAGAACGAGUCUUCUCAACAACUGGCCUGAUCAAAACAGUGUAGAAACAGACUUGAACUAGAUGGGAAGCUGUUGUCCAUUAUGUGCAUUAAAAGUAAUCAGGUCACACCGUGCUGCUACAAACAUGAACUGCUGGUAGAAAUGAUAAUCUAGUCCGAGUCUGCUGCUUGUAGUUGUACUAGGCUAAAAUAGGCCCCUGUGUGUGUGUGUGUGUGUGUGUGUGUUUGAGAGAGAGCGCAAGUGUGUAAGUGAGUAAAUGAGUUAGUGAGUGUUCAUGUAUAUAUUUGGCUGGGUGAGUAAGCAUGGUCGUGUAGAUUUGGCUGUGUGAGUGAGUGUGUAUUUGUGUGUGUGUGUGUGUGUGUGUGUGUGUGUUCAUGUAUCAGCUAUGUGUCUGGAGUAGGAUAGGUUUUUUUUUAAUUUAUGGUUCUUGCUACCAUUCUGAUUCUCUUCUUCCAAUAAGCCCUUGUUAUUGCCUUUUUAACUUAACAUUAUUCAAUAAAACAUUGUAGUUUUAAUAUCGGAAACAACAUGACUUUCAUUAGUGAACCAACCUGUGUGCGCUUUAUUGGGUUAGUGUAUGUCUAAUAUUGUGAAAUUGUUAGGAUAGCAUAGCCAGGCUAUAUCCUUAAAUCUUAGAUCUAAGCUGCUGCUCCCGCCUCAUGUGUAAGCUGCAUACUGUUUUAAAUCCUGAUGGUGAAUUGAGUCCAAACAUCUGCAUGUGAUUAAGUCAGCAUAUGCGUUUGCGUGAUUAAGCCCAUGGCAUCAAAAUCUCACUCCAGCCAGGUACCCAAAGUCGGCAACCCUGCAAUACUUGCUUACAGAUCUGACAAAAUGGUGGAUGUAACAAUGUCAGUUUGCAACUCCUGCAGAACUGUGACAGUAAGGGUUGCUACUAGCAACAGAAUGGGGGCUUGAUAACUACACACUUUAACUGUGCUAGCUCCCUCCCAUCAUAUUUAAAAAAAUGCAACAGAGUGGAGGGCAAUGACUUGUGGCUGUGUAGUGUGUGAUGCAGAGGGUGAGGGGACAUCGACUGACCACCACUCAGUGUAACAUGAAUAGCGUGAAUAGCGAUUUAGAGCUGGUAGUCAGAGUUAACCAGCCAUGAGCAGCUGCUGUCAGACUUUCUGUGUCCGUGCUGGAAACAAAGAGAGUCCACUGGAGCUUUGACAGUCACUAGAAGCACAUUCAGGCCCUUUGUAAAAGUUUCUGUGUGGUUCCUGUGUUGUAGCUGAGCUAGUGGCUCUUCUACAAGAGACUCUCCAGUGUGAGUGUGUCUGUGGGGGAGUGUCAGUAUGUAGUGGUAGCCCUGCUGUUUAUCGUGUUAAUAUUACCAUCAUCAGCCCUGGAUAUCUUGUGAAGCUCUGAAUAUAGCAGAGUUGUGUUGUGUUUACUGCCACAGUAAAGGAAUACAUUUCUUGUUCAUGUACAAUGUCGUCUCUGCUGUCUUUUAUCAGGCUUGCUAUAUUUGAGAGGCACAAACUGAGGCUGAGGUAUUGCUGUUUGCUUGACAUAUGAUAUAGACCUCAGAGUCUUGCCUGUUAUGUCACGAUUAGGGAGGGGCGGAGAAUUCAGCUCAACUGAAUUUUCAAAUCCAAGCAGACACCAAUAAGCUAAUUUUGAACAGAAAAAACAGUUUAAAUGUGAAGAAUAUAUAUAUAU